CUACGGGAGGCAGCAGUGGGGAAUAUUGGACAAUGGGCGCAAGCCUGAUCCAGCCAUGCCGCGUGAGUGAUGAAGGCCUUAGGGUUGUAAAGCUCUUUCACCCACGACGAUAAUGACGGUAGUGGGAGAAGAAGCCCCGGCUAACUUCGUGCCAGCAGCCGCGGUAAUACGAAGGGGGCUAGCGUUGUUCGGAUUUACUGGGCGUAAAGCGUACGUAGGCGGACCGUUAAGUCGGAGGUGAAAUCCUGGGGCUCAACCCCAGAACUGCCUUCGAUACUGGCGGUCUCGAGUCCGGGAGAGGUGAGUGGAACUGCCAGUGUAGAGGUGAAAUUCGUAGAUAUUGGCAAGAACACCAGUGGCGAAGGCGGCUCACUGGCCCGGUACUGACGCUGAGGUACGAAAGCGUGGGGAGCAAACAGGAUUAGAAACCCUAGUAGUCC
rnacentral:rRNA from 1 species